CCAUAUCACAUUGAAACACUAGUUCCCGUACGAUCAGCGAAGUUAAGCAACGUCGAGCUUGGUCAGUACUUAGAUGGGUAACCGCUUGGGAAUACCAGGUGCUGUAAU